GGGCGAUGGCGUUGAGUUUCUGGGGAGAAAAGGCCUCGCCUCAGCCCGGCUUCCUUUACUGCCCCGCUCCACCCCCCACCCCUUUAUGAAACCGAGUUGUCUUCUUGUUUGGGGCUUAUGUAUUCUGGCCGUGAACCUCUUGUCAGAGAGAUGACUUGCAAAUAUUCUCUUAUUCCAUCGAUCGGCUUUUCAUUUUGUUGAUUUUUCGAGGACAGUUAACAGAUUUGGUCUAACUUUUCCAACCCUGAGAAUCAUUGGGCUUUUGUUCAAAAAUACAUAUAUUCCCAAGCCCUUACUGAAAAUUCUGAUUCAGGAGAUAAAAAUCAGGAACCAUGAAUCUGUUUUGGUUUUGUUUUUGCCUUGUGGUGCUUGCUUGCGGGGUCUUAGUUCCCCUACCAGGGAGGGAACCCCCUCCCGCUUACAGUGGAAGCUCAGUCUUAACCACUGGACCGCCGGGGAAGUCCCUGAAUCUGUAUUUUUACUAGGAACCUCGGGGGAUUCUCGAAUCUAGAAAGUUUGGAACAUUCUAGAUUCUGCUCUAAUAGUGUUUUUCAGCUGGAGCUGAACAGGAGAAUCAGACCUUUAGCAAGACUAAGGCCUCCUUCCUAUUUGCAGAGUUUUGGAAUUAAUUGGCAAUAAUUAGUUCUCAAUAGAGACCUGCUGGGAUUUUAAGUAUCUCCAGGAGACACUGAUGCCGAGCCCUGGGAGGACCUCGUCCAUCUGCACCUGGCCCAGGGACCCCAGCUCCUGGCACAGUCUGGCUCAGGGUGGGUCUCCUGUAGCCUCACUGCCUUGUUUGAUGCUUCCAUUUCUGAUAUUGGACAGUGGUUCUGUUCCAGGGAGGUCGAGAGCUUUACAGAGAAACCUGACAUUUGUGGUCAGAAUUCCCCGUGAUGGCAUGGGAAAGUUGGAAAAAAAUGGAUUGUAGGUUUACUUCAUAGGGGAUCCAGUCAAGGUCUGCCUUUGGUGGCCAGCUCUGAAUGCUUCCUUCUGCAGAGAAAAGUGGCACCGCAGAUGGGAGUAUUUGCUGCCAGAAUUGCUCCAAAGAAUGAGACUUUAUCACUGUGUGGUCUUUCCUCUACAGUGGUCCUAACACAGCCGCACUUGCCAUCGCCCUGGGCCCUGGGAAGCAGACUCUCUAUUCAGAAGGAAUUUUCUCAAAGCCGUAUCCAACUCUGUGAUCCCAUGGACUGGAGCCGGCCAAGCUUCUCUGUUCAUGAGGAUUCUCCAGACAAGAAUACUGCAGUGGGUUGCCAUGCCCUCCUCCAGGGGAUCUUCCCAACCCAGUCUCUUAGGAUCCAUCUCCCAUGAUUCAAGAAGUGUAACCUGCCCGCUGAGAAUCUCCCCUGGACAGGAAUUUGCCAGCCAUGGGAUGGGGCCAUCUUGGAAGUGGAUCCUUCAGCCUUAGUCCAGCUGACAUCUAGUGGAGCAGAGAUGAAUUGUCCCCACCGGGCUCUGGCCAAAUGAUAGAUUGGUUGCUUCUGGAAUUGUGACCUUCAUGCUGCAGAAGCGCUCUGAGGUCUCCAAGAGCUGUGGUCACACCAGCGCAGGGCACGUCCCUCAGGGAGCAUGGCCGUCUGCAGUUGGAUUUGGAGAGAUAAUCAAUGCUUUGUUUUGCUGCCUGAAAUAAAUGACACAAAAUUAACCUGAAUGCCAGGAUCAGGUAAUACACAUAUUAACCUGUCUGUCAGUCUGAUCACUCACCUAGAGCCAGACAUCCUGGAAUGCAAAGUCAAGUGGGCCUUAGGAAGCAUCACUAUGAACAAAGGUAGUAGAAGUGAUGGAAUUCCAGGUGAGCUUUUUCAAAUCCUAAAAGAUGAUGCUGUGAGAGUGUUGCACUCAAUAUGGCAGCAAAUUUGGAAAACUCAGCAGUGCCCCCAGGACUGGAAAUGGUCAGUUUUCAUUCCAAUCCCGAAGAAAGGCAAUGCCAAAGAAUGUUCAAACUACUGCACAAUUGUACUCAUCUCACACACUAGCAAAAUAAUGCUCAAAAUUCUCCAAGCCAGGCUUCAACAAUACAUGAAUCAUGAACUUCCAGAUGUUCAAGAUAUAUUUAGAAAAGGCAGAGGAACCAGAGAUCAAAUUGCCAACAUCUAUUGGAUCAUCGAAAAAGCAAGACAGUUCCAGAAAAACAUCUACUUCUGCUUUAUUGACUAUGCCAAAGUCUGACUGUAUGGAUCACAACAAACUUUGGACAAUUCUUACAGAGAUGGGAAUACCAGACCACCUGACCUGCCUCCUGAAAAGUCUGUAUGCAGGUCAAGAAGCAACAGUUAGAACUGGACAUGGAACAACAGACUGGUUCCAAAUAGGAAAAGGAAUACGUCAAGGCUGUAUAUUGUCACCCUGCUUAUUUAACUUAUAUGUAGAGUACGUCAUGCAAAAUGCCAGGCUGGUUGAAGCACAAGCUGGAAUUAAGAUUGCUGGGAGAAUAUCGAUAACCUCAGAUAUGCAGAUGACACCACCCUUAUGGCAGAAAGUGAAGAAGAAUUAAAGAGCCUCUGGAUGAAAGGGAAAAAGGAGAGUGAAAAAGUUGGCUUAAAACUCAACAUUCAAAAAAUGAAGAUCAUGGUAUCUGGUCCCAUC
ensembl:lncRNA